CCAUCAAUGCUUAGGUACCAUCAGGACCUACUCCCUGAAGCUCAGGUGGGGAGUGGCUAGAAUGCAUUUGGAGGGAUGGCAAAUGACCAACCUCCUCUCUCUUUUCUCACCAGAUUUAAUCAAUAAGAAUACUGGAUGCUCAAUUAGAUUUGAAUUUCAGAUCAACAAUGAACAACUUUUAGUACAAUAUGUCCCAGAGUCCAAAUGACACAUACUUUUGCUAAUAUUAUUUGUGGCUUAUCUGGCAUUCAAACUACACUAGAAAGCUUGUAUUUUAUCUGAGGACCCUACCCCCUGCCUAGGGCACAUGCCCCAGCUCCUGUGGAGCUCCUGGACAGUGACUAUUGAAGCACAAUCCCCAAGAUUGCCUCCAGCGGCUAAGGAGGCCUCCGGCCUGGCCGGGACGGGGCCAGCCAGCACAGAAACUGGCCUCAGGAGUCCGGGGCUCCCAGCAGGGGACAAGAUCCUGAGCACCAUGAACAGGUUCAUGAGCUUCCCUGGUCUCCGCAGUCUUCCUCUGGCUUCCAGUUAGUUACACAGUCCUCUGGGCUGAAGAGCAGAGCAGCCAGGCUCUGCUACCCGCUGAGUGGAGACUGUCCAGACCACAGAUGGAAGCCUGAUCCCUAAAUGAGGCACUGGUCUCAGAUGAUGCUGGUUGGUGUGGACUCUGUCGACCUUGGGGGACUGUCACUGGAAAAGGAGGUUGAUCCAUGUGAUCAUAUACCUCUGAGAUGUGUUGCCAGGAUUUGUCCCGUCUCCGAAUCCCAUGAGGGGAGGGAGCAUCGGCUGAGUAACUCCCAGGAACCACUGGCCGAGGACAAGAACCAACCUGCUCGGGCCGGACCUGAGAGUUGACCAGAAGGUGGACGACUGAGUCAGACAGGCCAAUGUUUCUCAUGAGAAAGAGUGUCAGCGUUUCUUCGUCUC